rnacentral:misc_RNA from 1 species
UCCAGCAGCCGCGGUAAUACGUUCCCGGGCCUUGUACACACCGCCCGUCACGUCACGAAAGUCGGUAACACCCGAAGCCAGUGGCCCAACCCUUUGGGAGGGAGCUGUCGAAGGUGGGAUCGGCGAUUGGGACGAAGUCGUAACAAGGUAGCCGUACCGGAAGGUGCGGCUGGAUCACCUCCUUUCUAAGGAGCAUCUCCGCGGCCCUUUCUAGGGUCGCCAGGAGGCCAAGAAAUCACGGCCUGGUCGCUCCGGAGUCGAUCACUGGCUAUUCGGUCGGACCGCUCCCGGCUCGCUCAGUACCGCCCCGCAAGGGGUGCGGAACGGCGGGAUCGGAACGGCCAGGCCGCACACACUGUUGAGCUUUGAGGGAGCGUCUCGGAGCUUGAGGCGCGAGCACCUCGCCACGAGGCUCUGCCCAGACCCCGAACCGGCCGGCACGUCCGUCCAGGGGGGUACGGGACUCGAGCCGGGAACCUUGAGAACUACAUAGCGAGCGCGAGCAUCUUUGAAGUUGCCUUUUAAGGAAGGGCACACGGUGGAUACCUAGGCACACACCUAUAAGAG